rnacentral:lncRNA from 1 species
ACUUCAGAGAUUUGGUCCUCCGCAACCACCAGCGUUUUCACUGACUGUGGCAGCCGCUCGAUCCUAUUUCCUGGAAGAAAGAAAGGAAAACUCUCAUUCAAGAUUGUCAUAAAGAGUUUACCGUCCAGUUCCAUCGCGUAGUAGCUGAAAGGCGCUCUGGAUCAAGCACAAUCUCCAGCUGGAAUUAGAGCAAACGAAUGUCUGGAUGAAGAUCGUACCUGUUGGGGAUCGACCCAAGAACACCAUAAACCCCAGUGCCGCAAAGCCCGGAGCUUUAGGGUUUAAGGGAGACGAUGCCGCGAUCCUUUGAAGCGGUGUUUGCGCGCGCGCUCGAGGCAGUGGAGCGCAAGGCGGAGCACGACGACGAUCUCGACUGGCAGGCAUGGAACAAUCGCGAGGAGUGCACCGUGGGUAAGCGCUGGAGCGUCGCCAAGCUCAACCGCUACCUCGAGAUAUGGAAGCUAGGGGUGUCGUGCGUCAUGCGCCCCGGCGGCAAAGUUAUCGCCGUGGAGCGGCAGCACGAAUCCUUCGUCGCUGGGUACGUGAGGGAUAGAUUCAUGUCCAGGAGGAAUGGGAUGGAGCCUCUGGGGAGCAGGACGUGGGGACUACUCUACGUUCCAUUUGCCCAUCUCCCCAGGGGGAGCAUCAAGCUCCUCACCAUGGAAGCCUUCCAUGCCGCGCUCUACCAGCUCGAGCCCAACAAUGGCAAGUACCUGACCAAUCGCCCAUGCCCGCGCUUCAUCCUCGACAUCGGCCAGUGCCAGACGCUGCCCGAGCUCCUCUCCUACAAGGACGCCUACUUCCAUAGCCCCGGCUCCAAGGUCCAGAUCUUCCUGGCGAUCAAGUUGUACGUGAAGACGCAGCUGAGGCAGAUGGUGGCGGUGUUGCUCCACCGAUAUGGCGAUGCUAGAGCCAUCUCGUUUGGAGAGGAAGCGCUACAUCCCGUGACUGUGGCGUGGCUGGAGGAGCAGGGGAUUCCAUUGGCCGGAGUGGGACACGGCGGGGUGGAAUGCGAUCGACCAGGCAUUCCGAGCUACGAGAUCAAGCUUGACAUCGCCAAGGUGCUCGAGGGUGGGGAUGAUGUCGACACCGUUCGGGAGAAGUGUGGCGACCAUGUUACGCUGGAUCUCUACUGGGUCAAGACUGAGUUUCACAAUAGCGCUCGUUUGCAACCCAAGGGUUAACUAGCAUAUCCUAAGUAAUUAGCAGCUAGCAUAUCUCUGCGCUGGAGAAUUCCUCGCGAUUUCACCUUCUGCAGGCAGUGAAUCCAUAGGGCGUGCUGUGUUUGUGGCUUGCAUCCUCUCCAAUUAGCUGCUUUUCUCGCCCUCCUCGCCUAGGAACUCCUCUUGCUUGGAUUCCAGCGCCCAGGUUUCUGAUCUCAGUGGUUAAGUCCAGGGAAAUGAAGGAAGACUUCUUUACUUUUCUAAAGUCCAAAGAACUAAAAGAGAUAAGAGAUCUCAAAACCAACAAGCGAAACAAAAACUCAAAGUAUUUGGAAAGAA